UUGUGAGGUUAAGCGACUAAGCGUACACGGUGGAUGCCCUGGCAGUCAGAGGCGAUGAAGGACGUGCUAAUCUGCGAUAAGCGUCGGUGAGGUGAUAUGAACCGUUAUAACCGGCGAUUUCCGAAUGGGGAAACCCAGUGUGUUUCGACACACUAUCAUUAACUGAAUCCAUAGGUUAAUGAGGCGAACCGGGGGAACUGAAACAUCUAAGUACCCCGAGGAAAAGAAAUCAACCGAGAUUCCCCCAGUAGCGGCGAGCGAACGGGGAGGAGCCCAGAGCCUGAAUCAGUGUGUGUGUUAGUGGAAGCGUCUGGAAAGGCGUGCGAUACAGGGUGACAGCCCCGUACACAAAAAUGCACAUACUGUGAGCUCGAUGAGUAGGGCGGGACACGUGGUAUCCUGUCUGAAUAUGGGGGGACCAUCCUCCAAGGCUAAAUACUCCUGACUGACCGAUAGUGAACCAGUACCGUGAGGGAAAGGCGAAAAGAACCCCGGCGAGGGGAGUGAAAAAGAACCUGAAACCGUGUACGUACAAGCAGUGGGAGCCUCUUAAUGGGGUGACUGCGUACCUUUUGUAUAAUGGGUCAGCGACUUAUAUUCUGUAGCAAGGUUAACCGAAUAGGGGAGCCGAAGGGAAACCGAGUCUUAACUGGGCGUUAAGUUGCAGGGUAUAGACCCGAAACCCGGUGAUCUAGCCAUGGGCAGGUUGAAGGUUGGGUAACACUAACUGGAGGACCGAACCGACUAAUGUUGAAAAAUUAGCGGAUGACUUGUGGCUGGGGGUGAAAGGCCAAUCAAACCGGGAGAUAGCUGGUUCUCCCCGAAAGCUAUUUAGGUAGCGCCUCGUGAAUUCAUCUCCGGGGGUAGAGCACUGUUUCGGCAAGGGGGUCAUCCCGACUUACCAACCCGAUGCAAACUGCGAAUACCGGAGAAUGUUAUCACGGGAGACACACGGCGGGUGCUAACGUCCGUCGUGAAGAGGGAAACAACCCAGACCGCCAGCUAAGGUCCCAAAGUCAUGGUUAAGUGGGAAACGAUGUGGGAAGGCCCAGACAGCCAGGAUGUUGGCUUAGAAGCAGCCAUCAUUUAAAGAAAGCGUAAUAGCUCACUGGUCGAGUCGGCCUGCGCGGAAGAUGUAACGGGGCUAAACCAUGCACCGAAGCUGCGGCAGCGACACUAUGUGUUGUUGGGUAGGGGAGCGUUCUGUAAGCCUGUGAAGGUGUACUGUGAGGUAUGCUGGAGGUAUCAGAAGUGCGAAUGCUGACAUAAGUAACGAUAAAGCGGGUGAAAAGCCCGCUCGCCGGAAGACCAAGGGUUCCUGUCCAACGUUAAUCGGGGCAGGGUGAGUCGACCCCUAAGGCGAGGCCGAAAGGCGUAGUCGAUGGGAAACAGGUUAAUAUUCCUGUACUUGGUGUUACUGCGAAGGGGGGACGGAGAAGGCUAUGUUGGCCGGGCGACGGUUGUCCCGGUUUAAGCGUGUAGGCUGGU
rnacentral:rRNA from 1 species